AACAGGAUUAGAUACCCUGGUAGUCCACGCCGUAAACGAUGUCGACUUGGAGGUUGUUCCCUUGAGGAGUGGCUUCCGGAGCUAACGCGUUAAGUCGACCGCCUGGGGAGUACGGCCGCAAGGUUAAAACUCAAAUGAAUUGACGGGGGCCCGCACAAGCGGUGGAGCAUGUGGUUUAAUUCGAUGCAACGCGAAGAACCUUACCUACUCUUGACAUCCAGAGAACUUAGCAGAGAUGCUUUGGUGCCUUCGGGAGCUCUGAGACAGGUGCUGCAUGGCUGUCGUCAGCUCGUGUUGUGAAAUGUUGGGUUAAGUCCCGCAACGAGCGCAACCCUUAUCCUUUGUUGCCAGCGAUUCGGUCGGGAGCUCAAAGGAGACUGCCGGUGAUAAACCGGAGGAAGGUGGGGAUGACGUCAAGUCAUCAUGGCCCUUACGAGUAGGGCUACACACGUGCUACAAUGGCGCAUACAAAGAGAAGCGACCUCGCGAGAGCAAGCGGACCUCAUAAAGUGCGUCGUAGUCCGGAUCGGAGUCUGCAACUCGACUCCGUGAAGUCGGAAUCGCUAGUAAUCGUGGAUCAGAAUGCCACGGUGAAUACGUUCCCGGGCCUUGUACACACCGCCCGUCACACCAUGGGAGUGGGUUGCAAAAGAAGUAGGUAGCUUAACUUUCGGGAGGGCGCUUACCACUUUGUGAUUCAUGACUGGGGUGAAGUCGUAACAAGGUAACC
rnacentral:rRNA from 1 species